CUACGGGGUGCUCCAGUGGGGAAUAUUGGACAAUGGGGGAAACCCUGAUCCAGCAAUGCCGCGUGUGUGAAGAAGGCCUGCGGGUUGUAAAGCACUUUCGGUUGGGAGGACUGCUUCUAGCACUAAUAUUGUUGGAAGUUGACGUUACCUUCAGAAGAAGCACCGGCUAACUCCGUGCCAGCAGCCGCGGUAAUACGGAGGGGCAAGCGGUAAUCGGAAUUACUGGGCGUAAAGCGCGCGUAGGCGGCUAGAUCAGUCGGGUGUGAAAGCCCCGGGCUUAACCUGGGAACUGCAUCCGAUACUGUCUAGCUUGAGUACAGGAGAGGAGAGUGGAAUUCCACAUGUAGCGGUGAAAUGCGUAGAUAUGUGGAGGAACACCAAUGGCGAAGGCAGCUCUCUGGCCUGAUACUGACGCUGAGGUGCGAAAGCGUGGGGAGCAAACAGGAUUAGAUACCCCUGUAGUC
rnacentral:rRNA from 1 species